CCUCACGGGAGGCAGCAGUGAGGAAUCUUCCACAAUGGACGAAAGUCUGAUGGAGCGACACCGCGUGAAGGAUGAAGGCCUAACGGUUGUAAACUUCUUUUCUGAAGGAGCAUAAUGAGAGUACUUCAGGAAUAAGGGACGGCUAAAUACGUGCCAGCAGCCGCGGUAAUACUGNGUGCCAGCAGCCGCGGNAAUA
rnacentral:rRNA from 1 species